UGGUUAGUCCGCACGAGCGCAACCCUCGACCUUAGUUGCCAGCAUUCAGUUGGGCACUCUAAGGUGACUGCCGGCUAAAAGUCGGAGGAAGGUGGGGAUGACGUCAAAUCAUCAUGCCCCUUAUGACCUGGGCUACACACGUGCUACAAUGGGCGGUACAAAGGGUCGCGAACCCGCGAGGGGGAGCCAAUCCCAAAAAAGCCGCUCUCAGUUCGGAUUGCAGGCUGCAACUCGCCUGCAUGAAGCCGGAAUCGCUAGUAAUCGCGGAUCAGCAUGCCGCGGUGAAUACGUUCCCGGGCCUU
rnacentral:rRNA from 1 species